rnacentral:rRNA from 1 species
GCAUCCAGUUGGGCACUCUAAGGUGACUGCCGGUGACAAACCGGAGGAAGGUGGGGAUGACGUCAAAUCAUCAUGCCCCUUAUGACCUGGGUUACACACGUGUUACAAUGGACAGAACAGAAGGGCAGCGAACCGCGAGGUUGCCAAUCCCACAAAUCUGUUCUCAGUUCGGAUCGCAGUACUGCAACUCGCCUGCGUGAAGCUGGAAUCGCUAGUAAUCGCGGAUCAGCAUGCCGCGGUGAAUACGUUCCCGGGCCUUGUACACA